UUCUUCUCUCACGCCUCCUCUGCCGUUCUCUCAUUCUCUUCGAUAAAUUUUUCUCCCCCCAUCUUUUAUAUCUUCUUCUUUUUUUCCCCUUCUUUUACCUAAUUGCUUCCCAAAUGUCUCUUUAGAUUGCUUGGGACUUAGCCCAAACCCUGGUUUGUAACCUAGGAAUGGAUUUAUGGACAGAUGACUUUAAAUGGUUUGUUUGGUUUCUCAUUCGAAGUGCUAUCUAUGGAUAUAUUUUGUAUCAUGCAUUCUGCUUCCUUAGAAGAAAAGUUCCAGGAGUUCUUGGUUAUGGACCUAUACGUAAAUAUCCAAACAUGAGAAAACUGCGGAGAGUGUUUGCAGAAAGGCUAUUUUAAUUAUAGGUGGAGGAGGAUCAAACGCAAGAAAAAGGCUGGCAUUGAUCCUAUAAGAACUGCUUUUGAUGGAAUGAAGGCUACACCUCUAAACUUAGGAACAAUGUCCGUUCCCGUGCUUGGGGAGCUGGAAUCAGUUGUAGUUAUCGUGUUGAACGAUGCUGCAUUGUUAAGGAACUUAAAGAUUGCAUUAAGGGAUUGCUGUAUUUGGUGGGAGUGGUAGAACAUCAAAUCCGGGUUUUCAGAACAGAUGGAUACAGAUAGAGAGAGACACAGAGCCAGAGAAACAGCCAAUAUCAUCUGUUUCAUCAUGCAUAAAAGUUCAGGCAACAAAACUCAUCUUAUGAAAAAAAAGAUAAACUCACCAGCAGAGGAACAAAGCACCAGCAGAGGAACAAAGAACCAGCACCAGCAGAGGAACAAAGAACCAGCACCAGCAGAGGAUCAAAGAAGCAGUAGAGGAACAAAGAACCAGCGAGAGAAGAGAUGAGAGCAAAGAAGUAAAAGACCAGCUAAGAAGCAGCAGUAGUUUGUGUGUGGGGCUAAAAAAGUAAAAGACCAGCUAAGAAGCACUUUUUGGCCGGAAAAGCAGAAAUUUUCUGCAUUUUCAUCUGCCCAAAAGUACUUCAAGAAAGUUAGUCUACUGGCCCCAAAUGAAGUAUGUUCUUCAUUACUUUUCACCCAAAAUCACUUUUGGGUGUAAAAGUGCUUUUCAACCGGAUUAAAGAAUUGGCCCUAAAUGUUUGUGUUACUAAUUAUUUCAUUUUUUAUGCAGUUUGAGUUGCAGUCGUACAAAAAGGAUCAUAUAAAGGGUGGUCAUACCAAACCGAAUAUUUAAUUUGGUAGAA